CUCUCUUACAUUUUCCCCAUUAUCUUUGUAUCUCCAUUUCAGAUAAAUUGUUCUCUUUCCAAGGGUUGAGGAGAACAUGGUCGUGCUUCAAGUGAAGCCACUACAGCCACUGCCUGACAAGUCUUCCACACUGAUAACAUCAGGGAAAAAUAAACUCUACACUAACUAAGUGAUGAAAAACGUAGCAUCAUCCGCUGCACCAAACAAUACAGCAGCGAAUGACACUGCCAGGACUUGAACCAACACCUGCCUGCCUCACUGACACCUGCCGUGGUGCCAGGGAGUGCCGAGGCCCGUGCUGCCACCACGCUGAGAGAGGGAGAAAGAGAAGAGCAUCAGAGAGGAAUGACAGUGGCAGGAAGGAUGGUGUGUUAGGUGACUGGUUCAGACAGUGACAGUGGACAGAAGAAAUGCUGGAGAAAGAUUAGACCACAGAUGGUUCAUGUUGUACUAGUUCAAGGUUUGGCAGAAAACAUUUUUUUCUAGACAGUGGCAGCAGACACACAAGAGAGGAUGGUGGUGGUGGGCAAGAGGAUGCAAGGAGACGGCAGACAGAAUGGAAGCUACAGAUGAAAGAAGAGCAGGUCAAGCCAUGGCAGCAGACAGACACACAGACAGACACAUUGGAUCAGAAAGUUUUAUUUAGUGAGACAGGCCCACUGGAAGCUGUCAGUCUGCUGCGGCACGUGGCAAGAACCAAGUGUUGAGGAGCACACGUCGUCCCUUCACCAGUCAGCAGGUCUGGGCGGCUCGGAAGUCUCACUACAAACUGGAGAUCCAUUCUCUUGGACACAGCUGGAAUCGGACACAAGAUUCAAGAGGGAGUCAUUUUAACGAGAGCUUCAGGCAGAAAAUUCGAGUGGAUUUUCAUUUC